GAGAGACAGAGAGAUAAUGGAGAUUGCCAGAGUGGUAGGAAAUAUGCCAGUGAGAGGGUGGCCCCGAUAAAACUAAAGAGUGCAAACAGGACAGUGACUCAAACCCAGAGCACUCGCACUCCGCCACCGCAUUCGGGCAAUCAGCAAGCGGAAUGUCAGUGAGGUCACAGCACCAAGGAAGAAACACGCACAAACACGACCACCCGCAUGCGAAAAGCAUUCCUGCAAAACCAACUCAAACAUGAGCUCUCAGGUGUGAGCUGUGUUUGGAUGUCCACUCUGCAUAUGGGACACUUCCUGCUGGUGGCCAGCCACUGAUCCACACAGACCUGAUGAAAGAGGUGCAUGCAGGGUAAUCGCCUAAAGAGAGACAGAGAGAGUAGAAAUAAAAUAAUGAUGUAGAUAGAAUUUGUUUUUUACACAAAACAGUAAAGAAGCAAGAUGGAAUUAAGCGAUAUAAAGCUGGCACUGUGUAAAAACAGCUAUAGAAAUUUCAAUGCAUAGAAUUUUCAGUGUUUACCCUCAUUAAAAAUAUUUUCACUCACUAA